rnacentral:rRNA from 1 species
CGUAGGUAACCGGCCUGGUAGCGGGGGAUAACGAUUGGAAACGAUAGCUAAUACCGCAUAAGAGUAGAUGUUGCAUGACAUUUACUUAAAAGGUAGCAAUUGCAUCACUACCAGAUGGACCUGCGUUGUAUUAGCUAGUUGGUGAGGUAACGGCUCACCAAGGCAACGAUACAUAGCCGACCUGAGAGGGUGAUCGGCCACACUGGGACUGAGACACGGCCCAG